rnacentral:rRNA from 1 species
UACGUAGGGGGCAAGCGUUAUCCGGAUUUAUUGGGCGUAAAGGGAACGCAGGCGGUCUUUUAAGUCUGAUGUGAAAGCCUUCGGCUUAACCGGAGUAGUGCAUUGGAAACUGGGAGACUUGAGUGCAGAAGAGGAGAGUGGAACUCCAUGUGUAGCGGUGAAAUGCGUAGAUAUAUGGAAGAACACCAGUGGCGAAAGCGGCUCUCUGGUCUGUAACUGACGCUGAGGUUCGAAAGCGUGGGUAGCAAAAAGG